rnacentral:rRNA from 1 species
UACGUAGAGUGCGAGCGUUAAUCGGAAUUACUGGGCGUAAAGUGUGCGCAGGCGGCUAAGCAAGUCGAGUGUGAAAGCCCCGGGCUUAACUUGGGAAUUGCGCUCGAAACUACUUGGCUGGAGUGUGGCAGAGGAAGGUGGAAUUCCACGUGUAGCGGUGAAAUGCGUAGAGAUGUGGAGGAACACCAAUGGCGAAGGCAGCCUUCUGGGCCAACACUGACGCUCAU